UUAUCAUUUUAUUUCACCUUAUACUAAGAGAUUUGUACCGGGCACUGACACAGGUUGAACUCCUUUUGGAAAUUAAGAAACGGCAAAGUAGAAAAAAAGAGGAAAAAACGAAAAUAAAAGUAGAAAGUCGAGAGGACAACUGUUGACAUUAUACAAUGACGAGCUUGACAUGCCUUUGUAGUGUUAUUGUUUGUACACUGAUGGUGAAUGCUGUGAGCAGCUUGUCUUGCAUUCAAAGCAAUUCAUAUACGAAUGAAAGAUAUACUCCCAGUGACGGGACGCCAUGUACGAUUCCUGCCGCGGACAAGAAUACACCUCUGCAGUGUUUCACAAUCACCAAGGACGAUGGGUUAGCCUGGAGGGGUUGUGAUUCGAGCGGAGGAACCAUAUGCUUUCAUCAAGCGACCAUUUCUCACAAGUGCGAGCUGUGCGGGACGGACAACUGUAACUCUGGCUCCAUCAUCAACCUAACUAGAUGGAUGUUGAUAAUUCCAAUGUUGGCGUUGCUCCAUUAGAAACAAUUUUUUGUAAAGCUGCCAAGUGAUGUCCUCAAAUAUAUAUAUUUGAGGACAUGUAGGCCUUAUCAGUAAUGUGAGACCAUUUAUGGCAGUGAAAUUGCCAUCACGGCAUUGUCCUAUUAAGGAUGAUUACUGUAUAGUCUAGCUAGAGUUGUUCAAAUUUCUUUUAAAUACUAAUUUUGAGUAGGGAACUAAAAUCAAGUAUAUACCGACCUUUUAAACCAUUACUGAUCAUCAUCUAGUAUAGGAACAAUAAAGUGUUCUAGGA